AGCAGCCGCGGUAAUUCCAGCUCCAAUAGCGUAUAUUAAAGUUGUUGCAGUUAAAAAGCUCGUAGUUGAAUUUCGGAAUCAAUGGAUCGGUCAUGCCACUCGGUGUGUACUGGUUUGAUUGGUUCUCACCUUCUAAGGAACCGUGAUGUCAUUAAUUUGGUGUCGCGGGGAAUUAGGACUGUUACCUUGAAAAAUUAGAGUGUUUAAAGCAAGCUCACGCUUGAAUACAUUAGCAUGGAAUAAUGAAAUAGGACAUUGUAUUCUAUUUUGUUGGUUUCUAGGAUCGAUGUAAUGAUUAAUAGGGAUAGUUGGGGGCAUUAGUAUUCAAUUGUCAGAGGUGAAAUUCUUGGAUUUAUUGAAGACUAACUACUGCGAAAGCAUUUGCCAAGGAUGUUUUCAUUAAUCAAGAACGAAAGUUAGGGGAUCGAAGACGAUCAGAUACCGUCGUAG
rnacentral:rRNA from 1 species